rnacentral:rRNA from 1 species
AGCGGCGGACGGGUGAGUAACGCGUGGGUAACCUGCCUCAUACAGGGGGAUAACAGUUGGAAACGGCUGCUAAUACCGCAUAAGCGCACAGUACCGCAUGGUACGGUGUGAGAAACUCCGGUGGUAUGAGAUGGACCCGCGUCUGAUUAGGUGGUUGGUGGGGUAACGGCCUACCAAGCCGACGAUCAGUAGCCGACCUGAGAGGGUGACCGGCCACAUUGGGACUGAGACACGGCCCAA